GCGCCUGUAGCUCAAUUGGAUAGAGCGCUAGCCUUCGGAGCUAGGCGUUGGGAGUUCGACUCUCCCCAGGCGCA
rnacentral:tRNA from 1 species